rnacentral:rRNA from 1 species
GGCCGCAAGGCUAAAACUCAAAGGAAUUGACGGGGGCCCGCACAAGCGGCGGAGCAUGCGGAUUAAUUCGAUGCAACGCGAAGAACCUUACCAAGGCUUGACAUGAACCGGUAAUACCUGGAGACAGGUGCCCCGCUUGCGGUCGGUUUACAGGUGGUGCAUGGUUGUCGUCAGCUCGUGUCGUGAGAUGUUGGGUUAAGUCCCGCAACGAGCGCAACCCUCGUUCUAUGUUGCCAGCACGUGAUGGUGGGGACUCAUAGGAGACUGCCGGGGUCAACUCGGAGGAAGGUGGGGACGACGUCAAAUCAUCAUGCCCCUUAUGUCUUGGGCUUCACGCAUGCUACAAUGGCCGGUACAAAGGGUUGCGCUACUGUGAGGUGGAGCUAAUCCCAAAAAGCCGGUCUCAGUUCGGAUUGGGGUCUGCAACUCGACCCCAUGAAGUCGGAGUCGCUAGUAAUCGCAGAUCAGCAACGCUGCGGUGAAUACGUUCCCGGGCCUUGUACACACCGCCCGUCAAGUCACGAAAGUUGGUAACACCCGAAGCCGGUGGCCUAACCCCUUGUGGGAGGGAGCUGUCGAAGGUGGGACCGGCGAUUGGGACU